rnacentral:ncRNA from 15 species
CGUGGCGCAGUGGUAGCGCGCUAGGCUCAUAACCUAGAGGUCGUCGGUUCGAAUCCUACCGG